AUAACUCAUCGAUAUAAUAAUGCACUAUUCGACUCUGUCAGCACUGGCGUCCACUACUCCACCGUCAAUUUCCGUCCCAAGGGACCAAACCAAAGCCACACACUCUGUUUUAAUCACCACCUUAUUCUUCUUCCUCCUCUUCCUUGUCUCUUUCUACUCCAUGACAUCCUCCUCUCCUCGCACGAUCGAUGCACGGAGCCAACCCAACCGGUUCCUCUUCCCGACUGCCCGGUGUUCCCCACUAAGAUCCCCUCCCACCUGGUCCUCCCUCUCCCGCUUACCUUAUCUUCGAUUCAGCGGGUGACGUUACCCGGAUCGUCCGGUUGCUGGACACUAUUUAUCACUCGAAGAAGAAAGAAGAAGAGAGAAAAAAAUUUCUCCUUUUUUUUCAUAAUUUUCGAUAUUUUGGUCUUUUGAUUGUGUUAUAG
rnacentral:lncRNA from 1 species